rnacentral:rRNA from 1 species
GAUGAACGCUGGCGGCGUGCCUAACACAUGCAAGUCGAACGGACCCAUGGAAAAGAUUAGCUUGCUAUGAUUUUCCGGAAGGUUAGUGGCGGACGGAUGAGUAACGCGUGGGUAACCUGCCUCAUACAGGGGGAUAGCAGUUGGAAACGACUGGUAAUACCGCAUAAGCGCACAGUACCGCAUGGUACAGUGUGAAAAACUCCGGUGGUAUGAGAUGGACCCGCGUCCGAUUAGCCAGUUGGCGGGGUAACGGCCCACCAAAGCGACGAUCGGUAGCCGGCCUGAGAGGGCGGACGGCCACAUUGGGACUGAGACACGGCCCAGACUCC